UGAGCCAAGUUUAGGGUUUUCUCAAAACCCAAGCAGUAUUGAACUGAAGAGUUUGAUCAUGGCUCAGAUUGAACGCUGGCGGCAGGCCUAACACAUGCAAGUCGAGCGGAUGAAGGGAGCUUGCUCCUGGAUUCAGCGGCGGACGGGUGAGUAAUGCCUA
rnacentral:rRNA from 1 species